rnacentral:rRNA from 1 species
GAUGAACGCUGGCGGCGUGCCUAAUACAUGCAAGUCGAGCGCAAAGAUAAGGAGCUUGCUCCUUUGAUUUGAGCGGCGGACGGGUGAGUAACACGUAGGCAACCUACCCUUGAGAUUGGGAUAACUACCGGAAACGGUAGCUAAUACCGGAUACGACAUUACCGCAUAAGCGGUUUUGUUAAAAGGCGGAUUUAUCUGCCGCUCAUGGAUGGGCCUGCGGUGCAUUAGCUAGUUGGUGAGAUAGUAGCUCACCAAGGCGACGAUGCAUAGCCGACCUGAGAGGGUGAUCGGCCACACUGGGACUGAGACACGGCCCAG